GUCCCGGGGAGGGCGGGCGACCGGCGCGGGGGGAUGCGGUCCAGAGGAGGGAGCCUUGUCAAGAACCCCAAAAGUUGGAUCCUUUUCGCAGAGGACAACAUCGAGGCUAGCCUGGGCCAGAGAAGCUGCUCCGCAGCGGGCGAUUCAGGCCCACGCCCCUCACGCACCUGAGAGGAGCUUGGCGGUGUAAACAGGCCUAGGGGUCCCCAUCCGCACUGGGCAGCCAAGCAUCGGGGGCGUGUCCUCCGCCGCCCCCACUGGCUCAGCGGGAAGAUGCAAACGGACCCGGGACUCGUGUAUCGGUGCUUGUGUGAUAAACAUAUCACCGGCAAGAAAUGUCCAGCAGGUUUGGAGCCUCAAGGAUCAGCCUGUUUUUAUAGAGAAACAUUAAAAAAACAAAACAAAACAAAACCCUGGAAC